CAGAACUGCUAUAUAAACUCACUUGCCGUUUACAUUCUUAUCAAUCAGUUUUGCAACUUUAGCUAAAAUGAAAUUAUUUCAAAUAAUAUUGGUUGUGGCUUGUGCUAUUGCUGCUGUCUCCUGUUAUCCCGGCAAUAACGUAAUUGGCGGAAAUGGCAAUACAAACAAUAGGCAGACCAAUGGUGAUGGCAAGGUUUGCGCUUUGUGUGGUUAAUAAUUUUAAAUGAUAUUUUUCAUGUCAUUUUUAAAUUUUUUGCAAAAUGCGUAUGCAAAAAACAAAAUCAAUUUUUUUAUUAUUUAAUAAAAUAAGUUUAAAGAAUAAAAA